rnacentral:rRNA from 1 species
GGUCAAGCUACAAAGGGCUCACGGAGGAUACCUAGGCACACAGAGGCGAUGAAGGACGUGGUUACCUGCGAUAAGUCUCGGGGAGUUGGAAGCACACUUUGAUCCGGGAAUUUCCGAAUGGGGCAACCCCUU